rnacentral:rRNA from 1 species
GACGAACGCUGGCGGCGUGCUUAACACAUGCAAGUCGAACGGUGAAAGCGGAGCUUGCUCCGCUGGAUCAGUGGCGAACGGGUGAGUAACACGUGGGCAACCUGCCCCUCACUUCGGGAUAACUCCGGGAAACCGGGGCUAAUACCGGAUAUGACCUCCUUGGGCAUCCUUGGAGGUGGAAAGUUUUUCGGUGAGGGAUGGGCCCGCGGCCUAUCAGCUUGUUGGUGAGGUAACGGCUCACCAAGGCGACGACGGGUAGCCGGCCUGAGAGGGUGACCGGCCACACUGGGACUGAGACACGGCCCAGACUCCUACGGGAGGCAGCAGUGGGGAAUAUUGCACAAUGGGCGCAAGCCUGAUGCAGCAACGCCGCGUGAGGGAUGACGGCCUUCGGGUUGUAAACCUCUUUUAGUAGGGAAGAAGCGAAAGUGACGGUACCUGCAGAAAAAGCACCGGCUAACUACGUGCCAGCCGCCGCAGUAA